rnacentral:rRNA from 1 species
AUUGAACGCUGGCGGCAGGCCUAACACAUGCAAGUCGAACGGUAGCACAGAGAGCUUGCUCUCGGGUGACGAGUGGCGGACGGGUGAGUAAUGUCUGGGAAACUGCCCGAUGGAGGGGGAUAACUACUGGAAACGGUAGCUAAUACCGCAUAACGUCGCAAGACCAAAGUGGGGGACCUUCGGGCCUCACACCAUCGGAUGUGCCCAGAUGGGAUUAGCUAGUAGGUGGGGUAAUGGCUCACCUAGGCGACGAUCCCUAGCUGGUCUGAGAGGAUGAACAGCCACACUGGAACUGAGACACGGUCCAGACUCCUAAGGGAGGCAGCAGUGGGGAAUAUUGGACAAUGGGCGCAAGCCUGAUGCAGCCAUGCCGCGGGUAUGAAGAAGGCCUUCGGGUUGUAAAGUACUUUCAGCGGGGAGGAAGGCGGUGAAGUUAAUAGCUUCACCGAUUGACGUUACCCGCACAAGAAGCACCGGCUAACUCCGUGCCAGCCGCCGCCGUAA